CAUUUUACUCAGUAGCUCAUCUGAGACUUAAGUAAACAGGAAGUCUUUUCAGGGCACCCAGACGAAGACCAGAUGGCAUCCUCUGUGGCUGGGCUCGCUGGUGUCUGCACCAUGAGGAAUGGGCAUCCGAGGUUGCUGCCAGGACUCUUGAUGCUGUUGCUGUUGUCAUUGGGAGCUGCAGUCCCGUGGAUUAGCGCCUCUGUUGUUAUAGACUCAACUCGCAAUUGCCCUCAGAACUCCGCUGUUUUCAAUGGCACCCACUGUCGUUGCUCUCCGGGAUUCAAUUCCUCAUCUGGCGUGAUCUUCAAUGGCUCCGAGAGAUGUCAAGGUACAGGGGCUUGGGUGGUGCAGG